GUCCUUUUGGUAUUUAUUUAAGGUCUAACCUGCCCAAUGAUUUUUUAAUGGCCGCGGUAAUUUGACCGUGCAAAGGUAGCAUAAUCACUUGUCUCUUAAUUGGAGGCUAGAAUGAAUGGUUGGACGAGAUAUAUACUUUCUUUUUUAUAUUCUAUUGAAUUUAAUUUUUGAGUCAAAAAGCUUAAAUUUUUUUAUAGGACGAGAAGACCCUGUAGAAUUUUAUAUUAAUGUAAUUUUAGUUCUUUUUGUAUUAUUAUUGGUUCUUUUAUUAUUUUAGUAUUUUGUUGGGGCGACAGGAAGAUUUUUUUAACUCUUUUUUCUUUUUUCAUUGAUUUAUGUUUUGUUUUUGAUCCUUUAUUAAAGAUUAUAAGAUUAAAUUACCUCAGGGAUAACAGCGUAAUCCUUUUGGAGAGCUCUUAUCGAUAAAAGGGUUUGCGA
rnacentral:rRNA from 1 species